UUUCAUCAUCAUACAGACCUGAAAAUCUUCUGAAAAAAUCCAGCUUCCAGCUUUCCUGUUUUCCUUCUCUGUACAAAAGUUUGGAAGAAGUUUUCUUUGAAUUUCUAGGUUCUUGAGCUGAGAUAUGAGUUGAUAUUGAAGCUAUGGUUGGUGAAUACUGUUGUUUUCUUGGCUGCUGAACUAUUUGUCUUAACUUAGCAAUUUUGGAUCGAUUCUUAAGCAACUAGGUACGUGGAUUUCAAAGCUGAAAUAGAAGUCUGAUUGACAAUAGGCAUGGAAAUGCCGACAUAUUUCUGGAAGAUCACUGCUGAAAAUUUCAGUUGUAGACAUUAGACUAGCUAUCUUGAUAAUGUGGAUCAAGUUUGUUGUUACUCUACAGCUGAAUAUUAUUCAUGAAUGUUUAACCAUGGGCCUGUAAUUGAUUGAUUCAUAGUCUAUUAUUACUGUAAACUUGGUGGAUUGAUUUGUAUAAAGUAAUUUGUAGAAGUAUGAUUUGAAACCUGCUUAUUAUUCAACAA